GUCCCGUAACGAGCGCAACCCUUGUCCUUAGUUACCAGCACGUCAUGGUGGGCACUCUAAGGAGACUGCCGGUGACAAACCGGAGGAAGGUGGGGAUGACGUCAAGUCAUCAUGGCCCUUACGGCCUGGGCUACACACGUGCUACAAUGGUCGGUACAGAGGGUUGCCAAGCCGCGAGGUGGAGCUAAUCCCAUAAAACCGAUCGUAGUCCGGAUCGCAGUCUGCAACACGACUGCGUGAAGUCGGAAUCGCUAGUAAUCGCGAAUCAGAAUGUCGCGGUGAAUACGUUCCCGGGCCUUGUACACACCGCCCGUCACACCAUGGGAGUGGGUUGCACCAGAAGUAGCUAGUCUAACCUUCGGGAGGACGGUUACCACGGUGUGAUUCAUGACUGGGGUGAAGUCGUAACAAGGUAGCCGUAGGGGAACCUGCGGCUGGAUCACCUCCUUAA
rnacentral:rRNA from 1 species